rnacentral:rRNA from 1 species
AUGGCAAUUUUUGACCAGUUCUAUAGGCUGGCUGGUGGAAAUUUUGAGGAGCUCAACACGGCCAUGAUCGCCCUCAUACCAAAGAAGGAUGGGGCCAUGAGAAUUAAUGAGUUUAGGCCCAUCAGCCUCAUCCAUUCCAUUGCCAAGCUAGUCACUAAGGUGCUAUCCAUGCGGCUGGGUGCUGUCAUCGAUCGGAUCAUCUCGCCCACUCAAACGAAUUUUCAGAGGAAGAAAUGCAUCCAUGAUAGCUAUCUUUAUGUCUAG